CCUAACCACUCCUCCCACCCAACCCAACAAUCCCAACCAACUCCGGGCAGAGAAAAAACAAAAAAAAACCGACCCGAAAACCCGAAAAAUCAAGCCGCCGCCGCCGGGCUCACGACCCGCCGGAAGCCGAGGGAGGAAGAAGGCAUUCGAAUCGUGAGGAAAAGGAGAGGAAGGCGGUGUGAAAUGAAUCGGAGAUGGUGGGGCCCACGCUUUUGAGCUGGAGAGAGCGCUUCCCGGCCCUCUCGAGAUUCGAUGAUGCGCGGGAGGCAAGGGAAAUGGAAUCGGAUAAUGCGCGCGAUCGGAUUCGGAGCCCUUCUUCUCCACCCCCGGAUUCAAGAACCCUCCACCAUUUCCAGUCACAAUCUCUCUCUCUCUCUCUCUCUCUCUUUCUUCUCUCUCCUCUCGUUUUUUGGAAAGUGCUGGAGGGGAGAUGAAAUCGGAAAAGUCAAAACAAAACGCAUG
rnacentral:lncRNA from 1 species